rnacentral:lncRNA from 1 species
AAUUCAUUGAAAUGUUAUUUAAAUCAUGUAUUGUUUUGAAUGAUUGUUUAAGAGUAGUGACUAGCUUAUAUCAUAUUUGAUUAAAGAAAAACUGUUUAACAUAAUUUAAAUAAAAUGCCCUUAACCAAGUGUGUUCACCUGGUAGAUGCAAAAUCACAUUUAGUCAGAAUCUCAACCAAUUACACAAAAGUAUUCAUUCAGAUGAUUCAAAAGAAAUAUUACUGAAAACUCUAUAUUUAAUAACCUCAUAUAUUCAUGCCCCAGGAGUGAUAAAGUUAUUACAAGUAUUUCAGUAUCUCAGCUAGUAAACAUUUUUUACCCUUUUAGGAAUUUCAGAGUUUUAAAAACUAGAAGUAUGCUUUAAUGAACAUUUUCAAACAUGUCUUAAACAUUCCCCACUCAUGUACACUAUUUGAAAAGGUUCAAGAAGGCCAGUGUAAGAAUUAAUCAGGAACUGAGGCCUGUUUUUUGGGUGACUGAAAUGUUCUGAAAUUAUAUUGUGGUGAUGAUGGCACAGCUCUGUAAAUAUGCUAAAACACCUUUGAACUGUAUACUGAAAAUGGAUGAUUUUUAUGGUGUGUAUAGAUUAUAGUUCAUAAAGCUGUUUUAUAAAAUAUACCAGUCAGGAAACCUUUGGGAAUACAUGUGCUCUUAAGAUGCUUUUAAGAAUGCUAGAAAAAAGCCUAAACAGUCAAAAAUGAGGAGAAUCAGUUUGGGCAUUAAAAUAUUAUUGCUAGUAUUGGCAUUCACAAUAUUUCCCCUGUCAAUUGUCUUGUUGUUUCAAAUGUUCUUGCUAUUGUUGCUACUGGCAUUUAUGUUGGUGUUGGUGACCGUGGUGGUGCUGCCAGAGAGCUGCUGAGAAACAAGCACUGAGUCCCAUAUCUCAUGGUGAAUAAAAUCAAACUGCUGAAUGUCUUGGAACUUUGGAAUUCUCCUUCCAGCAAAGAUGUAGCAACAAAAACCAAAUUGACCUUUCUGCCUAAAAACAGCAAUAAAACCACACAAAAACAUAUGAAAAAGUGGUUUUCAAGACGCUGGGCAUCACACAAUGAAUGCCAUUAAUCCCUAAAAGAUGGGAAACAAAUGAGGUGAACUCUAUUAUUGCCCCAGCUCACCGAUUCUAGACUAUUUCCAACCUGAAGGUAGAAAAGAAGGGAGAGGCAAACAAAACAAAAAAAAAUGGAAGAAAUAGUGAUCAAAAUGUUUUCGAAACUGAUGCAAACUACAACCUCACAGAUCUAAAAACAUUAUUGAACUCUAAACCAAGAAACAUAAAGAAAACAACACCAAGACGCAUUGUAACCAAAUUUCUCAAAACUAGAGAAAAUCUUGAAAGUGGCCAGAGAAAAUAGGCAUGUUACUUACACAGAACAAACACAAGAAUAAUAGCAGAUUUCUCAUUGGAAACAAUGCAAGAGAGAAGAGAGAGCACACUAAAAAUCUUUAAAGUACUGAAAGAAAGAAAAAGGUCAACAUAUAAUUCUAUGUCCAGAAAACAUACAUAUAUUUCAUAAAUGAAAGCAGAAAUAUUUUCAGAUAUACAAAGGUUGAAAGAAUUCAUCACUAGCAGACCCGCACUGCAAGCAUAUUUAAAAGAAGUCCUUCAGG